CCUACGGGUGGCAGCAGUUGGGGAUAUUGCACAAUGGGGGGAACCCUGAUGCAGCGACGCCGCGUGGGUGAAGGAGUGCUUCGGCAUGUAAAGCCCUAUCGGCAGGGAAGAAGCAAGACGGUACCUGACUAAGAAGCCCCGGCUAACUACGUUCCAGCAGCCGCAGUAAUACGUAGGGGGCAAGCGUUAGCCGGAUUUACUGGGUGUAAAGGGAGCGUAGGCGGCUGCGCAAGUCAGAAGUGAAAGCCCGGGGCUCAACCCCGUGACUGCUUUGGAAACUGUGUAGCUAGAGUGCUGGAGAGGCAGGCGGAAUUCCUGGUGUAGCGGUGAAAUGCGUAGAUAUUAGGAAGAACACCAGUGGCGAAGGCGGCUUGCUGGACAGUAACUGACGUUGAGGCUCGAAAGCGUGGGGAGCAAACAGGAUUAGAUAUCCGUGUAGUC
rnacentral:rRNA from 1 species